AGAGUUCGAUCAUGGCUCAGGAUGAACGCUGGCGGCGUGCUUAACACAUGCAAGUCGAGCGAAGCGCUUUAAAGUUUUCGGACAUUAAAGUGACUGAGCGGCGGACGGGUGAGUAACGCGUGGGUAACCUGCCUCAUACAGGGGGAUAACAGUUAGAAAUGACUGCUAAUACCGCAUAAGCACACAGGAUUGCAUGAUCCAGUGUGAAAAACUCCGGUGGUAUGAGAUGGACCCGCGUCUGAUUAGGUAGUUGGUGAGGUAACGGCUCACCAAGCCGACGAUCAGUAGCCGACCUGAGAGGGCGACCGGCCACAUUGGGACUGAGACACGGCCCAA
rnacentral:rRNA from 1 species